GUCUACAGCCAUGCCACCCUGAACAAGCCCGAUCCCGUCUGAUCUCAGAAGCUAAGCAGGGUAGGGCCUGGUUAGUAGUUGGAUGGGAGACCACCUAGGAAGACCAGGUGCUGUAGGUG
rnacentral:rRNA from 1 species